CCGGGAAAACAAGCCCAGAAGGCGGCGGACACUCGCAUAAAGUCACGCAGUAGUACUCGGAGCCCGGGGUAGAACCUGGACUUCAAAUCUCUGCACUCCCGGCCGGGUGGUGGGCGCAUAUCCUGGGUAGCCUCUAGGAAGCGCUAGACACAUGGAACCAAGGCAGAUUCAGCCUGGCAGCUGGCAAGUCAUGGAGCACUGCCUGUCCAUCUGCGAGCUAACAACAGUCGCGCUGGAAGUCAACAAGGGAAAUGGAAAGGGAGAGACCCAGCCUCCACAGGGGCUCACGCCCUGGGACCUGUGCCAGUGUGAACAAGGUUUUCCGGCCCCAGGAAGCAGGCCUAAGUACUCUCAUUUCAUCACUGAGGAGCCUGAGACGUUCAGUCAUUGAUUGGACAGCCCUCACCAUUCAAGCCCUCCUUGGUUUACAGCAGCAGAAAGAGAGGCUCUGAAGGUUCUAGCCAGAGGAAGCUGCAGCCAGGCCUGGCAGUCUCCCCUGCUCCCUUCCACCAGCUUGGUUCCUGUUUCUGCUGGUCCUGGGAGCCCCCAGCAGAUGGACUGCCCUUAUCAGCCGGCUCCAGGCCAGAGGAGGAAUCCUCCGGUCACGUGUGGCUCUCUGGAGGGAGAGAGACCUCAUAAAUACAUACAGCCCACGCAGAGGAAGGGGGGAGGGUCAAGGGGAAAGAAACCUUGACAUUCUGGCGACUGGGCCAGGAUUAAAGUCCACCAGGCAUAGUCCUUAUUGGCUAUUUCUAUGAGGAAUCUCAAAUCCACAUGGCUUCCCUGGAUGACAACGCUGACUUUGACUAGCCCUGGGAUCUGGGGCAUUCCCAGUGUGCUGCUGGCUUGAUCCAGGCCUAAUCCUUUGCCCAGGACUGACCUUUCACAGUUUACAGAGCACUUUAUCUCCUGGCUCAGUGAAGUCUCACAGAACCCUCCAGAGAGAAGGGAGUUUAUCAUCACCCUCAAUUUACAGAUGAGGAAGCUGAGGCUGCGAUUGUAACUGACUGACUGCUGGCUACGCAGCUACAAGUGACCGAGUCCAGCCUGAAAGCCACAUAUAUUCUCCCACAAAAUCCAGAGCUGCCAAACACAUCCUCCUCCAUGAGUCUUGCUUUGUGCCCAUCACUGAGCUCCAUGCCCCGGGCGAGCCAUCGUUCCUGCCUGGCGAAGUCCACAAUCCAAUAAGGAGGGAAGGUUGAAGGGAUGAAUCUCAACAGAAUUGUGCACAGUGAAAGAAGCCAAUGAAAGAAGAGUACAUAUUGUAUAAUUCCAUUUAUAGAAAACUCUAGAAAAUGCAAGCUGAUCUACAGUGACAGAAAGCAGAUCCAUGGUUGUUUGGGGAAGUGAGGCAGAAGGAAAGGAUUCAGAGAAGCACAAGGAACCUUUUAGGGUGGUAGACAUGCUUACUAUCUGGUACUGAGAGUUUCUCAUGUCUGCACGUAUCUAAUUGUACACUUUAAAUACACACAGUUUAUUGUAUGUCAAUUAUAUCUCCAUAAAGCUAUUUAAAAAGAGGAACGUAAGUGGGGAAAAGAAUGAAGGAAGUUGGCUGGCGUAUAAUUAAGUAAGUCUGUGAGCAGUCUUAAAGUGGGGACACAAAGUACCAUGGGCACGUAAGAGAAGAAGGUAGAGAUUCAUUCCCAAACGGAAGAGAUCAGGAAGGAGUUCUUAGAACAGGGUUUCAACAAAGCUCAAGGUAUGGAUAAGUAAGGGUCAGGUUAAGAAAGAUUCAGAUGGAAGAUACAGAUAGAGUUUAUUUGGGAAAUAGAGAGUGGAGUAUUAUACACACGCACAAUUCGCCUUUUUACCCAAGUUUUGAAGGACUGAAGUUAAAACUAACAGCAACUAUCCUCUCUUUUCUUCAGAAAUUCAGACACAUGCCCUACUUGGCAGGCAGCUAGUUUUGCUAAUAAGAUUCCUGCCCUUCUCCCUCCCUCUCUGUGCAUCUCAUCCCUUCGGUCCCGCUGAGGCCCCUACCCUCUCGGAUUUCCUCUUUGAACUGAACUGCCAAAUACUUGCCAGCUUCCAGGGCCCUGAGUACCCACAUUUCAGCCUCUUCCAAACCCCAGAGUAAGAAGGAGAUUUGGGGAGUUCUGGGUGGGCAUGUGAUGGGAGACUAGGUCCAACAUAAAAAGAUAUUUCCCUUUUUCUUCCAUACUUUUUGGCUUAGUAAUUGACAUGUGACCAUUGGAGAAUUUUGAAUAGUUUAUUAGAAUACAUUGUGAUAGAGAAGAAGGAAAUUCAAGAAUUGUUACAAUGUUGUACACUGAUUAACUGGCUAAUUUGCUGCAAAACCAAUUCUGAUCACUGCUCUUAUGGUUUGUAAUACAUUAUUUUGGGUUUGGAUGAUCCUGUUAUUCAUAGCUUUACAUAAAGAAAUAUUCCAAUGACAUAUGAAACCCAUAUAUGAAAUUGUGGGUUAGCUCUUGCUUUCAAUUUUGUAUUAUGUUUGUUGAUUUUAAACUGUCUCCUUUCAAAAGUUUCCUUAUUAAUUAAAUAAACCACUCAGCCACAU
rnacentral:lncRNA from 1 species